rnacentral:rRNA from 1 species
GACGAACGCUGGCGGCGUGCUUAACACAUGCAAGUCGAACGGAAAGGCCCUGCUUUUGUGGGGUGCUCGAGUGGCGAACGGGUGAGUAACACGUGAGUAACCUGCCCUUGACUUUGGGAUAACUUCAGGAAACUGGGGCUAAUACCGGAUAGGAGCUCCUGCUGAAUGGUGGGGGUGGGAAAGUUUCGGCGGGUUGGGAUGGAAUCGCGGCUUAUCAGCUUGUUGGUGGGGUAGUGGCUUACCAAGGCUUUGACGGGUAGCCGACCUGAGAGGGUGACCGGCCACAUGGGUACUGAGGGACGGCCCAGACUCCUACGGGAGGCAGCAGUGGGGAAUAUUGCACAAUGGGCGGAAGCCUAAUGCAGAAACGCCGCGUGCGGGAUGACGGCCUUCGGGUUGUAAACCGCUUUCGCCUGUGACGAAGCGUGAGUGACGGUAAUGGGUAAAGAAGCACCGGCUAACUACGUG